GGCGUCUGAGAAGUCGCCACCAUGAGGAAACUCUUCAGUUUCGGGAGACGCCUGGGCCAGGCGCUCCUGAGCUCCAUGGACCAAGAGUACGCGGGUCGGGGGUACCACAUCGGGGACUGGGAACUGCGGAAGAUCCACAGGGUGGCCAUCAAGGGCGACGCCGCGGAGGUGGAGCGCUGCCUGACUCGCAGGUUCCGGGACUUGGAUGCCCGCGACAGAAAGGACAGGACUGUUCUACAUUUGGCCUGUGCCCAUGGCCAUGUGGAAGUGGUCACUCUCUUGCUGGGGAGAAGAUGCCUGAUUGACAUCUGUGACAGACUAAACAGGACGUCUUUAAUGAAGGCUGUACACUGCCAGGAAGAGGCUUGUGCCAUUAUUUUCCUGGAACAUGGUGCCAAUCCAAACAUUAAGGAUAUCUACAGCAACACUGCUCUCUAUUAUGCUGUGUAUAAUAAGGGGACUUCACUGGCAGAAAAACUGCUUUCCCACCAUGCAAAUAUUAAAGCACUAAACAAGGAGGGAAACACUCCACUUUUGUUUGCUAUAAAUUCUGGGAGACAGCAUGUGGUGGAAUUCUUAUUGAAGAACCAGGCAAAUAUACAUGCCGUUGACAAUUUCAGAAGAACAGCCCUCAUGCUUGCAGUACAGCAUAGCUCGUCAAGUAUCAUCAGCCUCCUCCUUCAACAAAAUAUAAAUAUCUUUUCUCAAGACAUGUUUGGCCAAAUGGCUGAGGAUUAUGCUGUUUAUUGUGAUUUGAGAAGCAUUCAACAACAAAUUUUGGAACAUAAAAAUAAGAAACUUAAAAAUCAUCUUUGAAAUGACAAUCAAGAAACAGCAGCUAUGAAGCCUGCAAAUUUGAAAAAAAGAAAAGAAGGUGCAAAAGCAGAACACGACUUAAAAGUGCCUUCAGAGGAAAAGCAAGAAAGGCUUGAAAGAAGUGAAAAUAAACAGCCACGGGAUUCUCAAAGUUAUGGAAAAAAGAAGGAUGUGAUGUAUGGAAAUUAUAUGUUGAAGAGAGACAUUGCCAUGCUCAAACAGGAAUUAUACGCAAUAAAAAAUGACAGUCUCAGAAAGGAAAAAGAAUAUAUUCAUGAAAUUAAAAGUAUUACAGAAAUAAAUGCUAACUUUGAAAAGAGUGUAAGACUCAAUGAAGAAAUGAUAACAAAAACAAUUGCCCAGUAUUCACAAGAGCUCAAUGAUCUGAAAGCUGAGAAUUCAAGGCUGAAUUCAAAAUUGGAGAAGGAAAAACACAACAAAGAGAGACUAGAAGCUGAAGUCAAAUCCCUCCAUUCUAGCCUGGCAACUGCUAUAAAUGAGUACAAUGAAAUUUUGGAAAGAAAAGACCUAGAACUAGUUUUACAGAGAGCAGAUGAUGUUUAUGGACAAGAAAAAAUGGGUUCUGAUAUUUCUCAACUAACAGAUAAGAAUGAGUUGCUUACUAAACAACUUUCUAAAGCUCGGGUGAAGUUCAGUACCUUAAAAGCUAAGCUGCAUGAGACAAGAGAUGCUCUCAGGGAAAAGACAUUGGCUUUAGAAAGUGUACAGAUGGACCUAAAGCAAGCACAGCAUCAAAUAAAGGAAAUGAAGCAGAUGCAUCCAAAUGAGGAAGCUAAGGAGAGUCAAUCCACUGGAACGCAGAACUCUUUAGAGGAGAGAAUAUGUCAACAAGAACUCGAAAAUCUCUUGCUUGAACAACAACUAGAGGAUGCUCAUAAGGAAGGCCAUAAUGAAGAGAUAGUCAUUAAUAUCCAAGGAGGCUGUCUUGAGAAUGGAAAGGAAGAUCUUCUAGAAGAAAAAAGUAUGGAAUUAAUGAAUGAAUAUAAUUAUUUUAAAGAAAAACUUUCAGUAUGAAAAAGAAGCAGCAGAAGGAGAAGUGAUUGUAAGACAACUUCAAGAAGAACUGGCUGAUCACCUUAAAAAAUUUUCAAUGUCAGAGUCUCCACUGGAAGGUACAUCAUAUUGUCAUAUUAAUUUGGAUGAGACACGGACUUCAAAGAAGAAAUUAUUUCAAGUAGAAAGUCAACCUGAAGAAAAACAUGAAGAACUCGGAAAACUUUUUGAGUUAAUAUCAUCACUGGACUGUAAUGUAGAUCAAAUAAGAAAGAAAAAUCAUGAAUUAGAAGAAGAGGCAACUGGGUAUGUAAGAAAUGCCUAGAAACGACAAUAAAUAUGUUAAAUGUAUUUGGAAAUGAAGACUUCAGUUGCCAUGGAGACUUAAAUACAGAUCAACUGAAAAUGGAUAUUCUGUUUAAGAAGCUAAAACAGAAGUUUGAUGAUCUUAUGGCCGAGAAGGAAGCUGUAUCUUCAAAAUGUGUCAAUUUGGCCAAAGACAAUGAAGUUCUUCAUCAGGAGUUAUUAUCUAUGAGAAAAGUACAAGAGAAAUGUGAAAAACUUGAGAAGGAUAAAAAGAUGUUGGAAGAAGAAGUAUUAAAUCUUAAGACACAUAUGGAAAAAGAUAUGGUAGAACUUGGUAAAGCACAAGAAUAUAAAUCGGAGCUGGAUGAAAGGGCAAUGCAGGCAAUAGAAAAAUUAGAAGAAAUCCAUUUACAGGAACAAGCAGAAUAUGAAAAACAAUUAGAGCAGUUAAACAAGGAUAAUACGGCUUCACUAAAAAAGAAGGAACUCACAGUUAAAGAUGUGGAAUGUAAAUUCUCCAAAAUGAAAACUGCUUAUGAAGAGGUUACAACUGAAUUAGAAGAAUAUAAGGAAGCCUUUGCAGUAGCAUUGAAAGCUAACAAUUCCAUCUCAGAAAAAAUAAUGAAAUCAGAUAAGAAAAUAGCAGUGAUCAGCACCAAGCUCCUUAUGGAGAAAGAACGGAUGAUAUUUUCUCAGCACUCUUCCUAUGAGGCCAGACCCAGAGUUACCUUGUGUUGAAAAUCUUAAUAGUAUAGGACUCAACAGAAAAUAUAUUCCCAAAAUGCCCCUAAGAAUUCCUACUUCAAACCCACAGACUUCAAAUAACUGCAAGAACUCCUUGACUGAGCUUUUGCUGUGUUGAACACUUGCUCCCAUCUCCUUUCUUCUCUAGAAUCCACUGGUAAGCCACAUCUAAUGAAGAGAAUAUUUAACCAUAAAAUCUUAAGGAAAAGCAUGAAUUAAAAGAUCAUAAAACUUUAUUACUGGGCUAUUUACAUGAAAUUUUAAUUGUUUCUCAUAAAAUAUAAAACAUCACAAUCUUUACUAAAGUAGAAUAUUUUCAUAUCAUGUAUGAUGAAUAUUUAUAUGUUAUUUUAAAUGAUGUUUUUUAGCCUCCUUAAGUUUUAAGUGGAUCUUGCAAAUGAACACCAGUAUUAUUGAGUUUGACCUACUCAAAUUGCCUGAAUGCCAGCUGUUUAAACAGCCAAACAACCAAGUCAUCAUUGAUACUUUAGUAAAGGUCAUCGAAGGCUUCUUUGCAUUUUACAGUUUUUAUUACUAUAUAUAGUAGGAGACUUAAAGAGUAUCUGCCAGGUUCGUCCAUACUAAUGUUACAAUUUUCUUUUUGUAGUUCAACAGUAUUUUUUGUGGAGAUACUUUGAGGCUCUGUAAAUAUCUGGUUACUCCUCAAAACACACUAGAUUUAGCAUUUCAUGGAUGACUUGUGUUUGAACAAGUGUUACUGUGAUGGUUGCCAGAUGAUUAUUUUUCUUAUUCUCUUCUUUGUUCUACAUGGUGAAAUAAAACCAAUAAAUAAAGG
rnacentral:lncRNA from 1 species